rnacentral:rRNA from 1 species
UACGUACCGUCCAAACGUUAUUCGGAAUUACUGGGCUUAAAGGGUACGUAGGCGGCGCUGUCAGUCGGGUGUGAAAUCCCAGGGCUCAACCCUGGAACUGCGCCCGAUACUGCAGCGCUUGAGGGAGACAGAGGUAAGCGGAACUGAUGGUGGAGCGGUGAAAUGCGUUGAUAUCAUCAGGAACACCAGUGGCGAAAGCGGCUUACUGGGUCUCUUCUGACGCUGAGGUACGAAAGCUAGGGGAGCGAAGGGG